rnacentral:rRNA from 1 species
CCUACGGGUGGCAGCAGUGGGGAAUAUUGGGCAAUGGGCGCAAGCCUGACCCAGCAACGCCGCGUGAAGGAAGAAGGCCCUCGGGUUGUAAACUUCUUUUGUCAGGGACGAAACAAAUGACGGUACCUGACGAAUAAGCCACGGCUAACUACGUGCCAGCAGCCGCGGUAAUACGUAGGUGGCAAGCGUUAUCCGGAUUUACUGGGUGUAAAGGGCGUGUAGGCGGGAGAGCAAGUCAGAUGUUAAAUUCCAGGGCUCAACCCUGGAACUGCAUUUGAAACUGUUUUUCUUGAGGGAUGGAGAGGCAGGCGGAAUUCCGUGUGGAGCGGUGAAAUGCGUAGAUAUACGGAGGAACACCAGUGGCGAAGGCGGCCUGCUGGACAUUAACUGACGCUGAGGCGCGAAAGCGUGGGGAGCAAACAGGAUUAGAGACCCUGGUAGUC